UUCUCCCCAUAUUGGGUAAAAUUGGAUUCAACUACCAGUACAAAUUGCUACUUUGGAAUUUAUUCCACCGUAAAUUGUGAUGACACAAUCGAAGCAUUCGGCGACCUUAUAUUAGGCAUUGAGGCUACUUCUGUGCUUGUUAUGGCUCUUACAACACUGGUCAUAUUGGUUGUCAUUUGCUGCAAGAAAGACGACGUACCCGAGCAUGAAUUGCGCAGUUGUGUAUUUUAUUUGCUUGGCCUUUAUGUUCUUGCAGGAAUCCUCGGCUUCAUUGGAUGUAUGCUUGUUUUAGAUGCAUAUUACGACAAUGACCAAGGCUGGGGAUUUUAUGUUAGUGUGGCAGGAUCAUGCUUUGUAAUACUGGUCGUAGGUCAAUUAUUUAAAAAGAAAAAAGAAUGAAUCUUUAUAACCUUGACUUCAACAUAUUCUUUGUUACAUGAUACUACUGUAAAAAAGGUCAAUUGUUACU